rnacentral:rRNA from 1 species
ACGCUGGCGGCGUGCCUAACACAUGCAAGUCGAACGGGGAUGUAGUAGAGAAUCAUCUUUAGUACAUCCUAGUGGCGGACGGGUGAGUAACGCGUGGGCAACCUGCCUUGUACAGGGGGAGUAACACCGGGAAACCGGUGCUAAUACCGCAUAACGUAUGAGUAUGGCAUCAUACACAUACCAAAGGAGUAAAAUCUGGUACAAGAUGGGCCCGCGUCCGAUUAGCUAGUUGGUGAGGUAACGGCCCACCAAGGCGACGAUCGGUAGCGGGUCUGAGAGGAUGAUCCGCCACACUGGGACUGAGACACGGCCCAGACUCCUACGGGAGGCAGCAGUGGGGAAUUUUGGACAAUGGGCGCAAGCCUGAUCCAGCCAUGCCGCGUGAGUGAAGAAGGCCUUCGGGUUGUAAAGCUCUUUCGGCCGGGAAGAAAUCGUGGUCUCUAACAUAGGCCAUGGAUGACGGUACCGGACUAAGAAGCACCGGCUAACUACGUG